GCACCAGUGGCGGAAGCGGUAGACGCGCAGGACUUAGGAUCCUGUGAGCUUGGCGGCUCGUGUGGGUUCGAGUCCCACCUGGUGCA
rnacentral:tRNA from 1 species